rnacentral:lncRNA from 10 species
GACAUGGGGUCUCACGAUGUUGCCCAGGCUAGAGUGCAGUGGCUGUUCACGGGUGCAAUCAUAAUGUACUGAAGACUUGAACGCCUAGGCUGAAGUGAUCCUCCUGCCUCAGCCUCCCACGUAGCUGGGACUACUGGAAGAAGAAAAACACAGUUUUAAAAGUACUAAGCAGAGGCAAUAGCUAUUUUACUAUAUUCUGGGAAAACACUACCAUGGUAUGCCUAUUUUACCAAUUAAAAAAGAAAUUGGAUUUCAUGACAUCAAGAAUCCUUCAAGAUAUAAACAUAUAUGGAGAAGCUGUGGUUUGAGAUCAUCCAGCUGCUGAGUGGAGAGACCAGAUGCAAACCCAGGCAGUCUGGCUCCAACGCCUGCAAAGGUUUCCAUUCUACCCUCUCUCAGUAAAGGGAGAUGACUACAGAGAAUAGGCCUCUCUACAUUGCAUAGACGGGCGUGCAGUGGUAUCGAUAUGUGCAAUCCCACUACUGA